AUUGAACGCUGGCGGCAUGCCUUACACAUGCAAGUCGAACGGUAACGCGGGGCAACCUGGCGACGAGUGGCGAACGGGUGAGUAAUGCAUCGGAACGUGCCCGGUAGUGGGGGAUAACUGCUCGAAAGAGCAGCUAAUACCGCAUACGGCCUGAGGGUGAAAGGGGGGGAUCGCAAGACCUCGCGCUAUCGGAGCGGCCGAUGUCGGAUUAGCUAGUUGGUGGGGUAAAGGACCACCAAGGCAACGAUCCGUAGCUGGUCUGAGAGGACGACCAGCCACACUGGGACUGAGACACGGCCCAGACUCCUACGGGAGGCAGCAGUGGGGAAUUUUGGACAAUGGACGCAAGUCUGAUCCAGCAAUGCCGCGUGCGGGAAGAAGGCCUUCGGGUUGUAAACCGCUUUUGUUAGGGAAGAAAUCCUCUGGGCUAAUACCUUGGGGGGAUGACGGUACCUGAAGAAUAAGCACCGGCUAACUACGUGCCAGCCGCCGCUGUAAGAC
rnacentral:rRNA from 1 species